AGCUGCCGCAACGCAGGCUUUUGUGAGGGGCAUACGAGCAGCCGAUUGGCUGCUCCCGGUUGCCCCGGCGAUCGGUGCGGCUCGCGCGCGCCUCACAAUGAUGUGGCGAGAGGGGGGAGACAGAGCAAGGUGAUUCACCCCCGAAGAAACAGCUGUUGGACCUUGGGAGAAGAUCCAUACCUGAAACUUGUUCAGAAAUGCUAGUGAAAACCUGUGAAGAGGUUCAACAAGAGCAGAAGCACUACAGACUUCUCCAAACUGCUUUUCGAAGACACCUUAACACUGACCAGGAGGCACCACUGAAGGGGUGAAAAUAGUCUGGUUUCCAGUAGCAUGCAGCUGCUUUUGGCCUCUCUUCUGAGACUACCAGCUAGCAUGGCCAAUUAGUGGGAUAUAAUUGUGGUGGGAUUUUUACUCUUCUGGGAGCUGGAUUGGAAUUAUCAUCACAUUUCACAUAGGCCUCCAAAGAGCCAACUGAGUUAACAACUACUGGACACUUCUGAACUGGGAAAGAUCUAAAACAGUGACCUAAUGGAAAGAGGCAGCAAAUCCCCUUACCAACCAGUCCUAUGUGUGACAUUUAUUAAUCACAAGCAUCUACCCUAAAUUUCCAUCUCUGUUAAAACUCACUUUUGGUAGUAACUCUACAAUUGCUAUUUUUGCUAAACAUGAAGAAACAAACUAUUUCCACGGACUAGUUUUCAAAUAACGAAGAUAGACUAGCAACACAAUCAGUCCACAAUGUAUGAUCUUACAAUUCCAGUGAGAUACACGUAUCUUUAUCUCCCAGAACAGAUUGGCCUCUCUUCCUGUUUUUAAUAUGAUACAGAAAGCUAACCCAAGCAGUGUCUUGAGUCUCAAAACAAAGUCCUUUCCUUAGCAAUAUUCUUAGCCGAAGGAAUAGUUGGAACCAAAAUUGGUGGCAUUCUGACAUCUGAAAUGCAGAAUGGUGACUUGUGCAUGACUGGCAGUGGCACAAGGACUGAAAAACACCCCUUGGAGAUGUGGAAAAUUCUGCCAAGAAUUGGCUGGUGGGGAUGGAGGAGGAAAAGAGACCUGCAUUACCUUCCCAUGAAUAGCUGGUUGGUAGGGAUGAGAUGUGUGCUGGAAAUCAAAUAGCUACUGUGAUAUUAGAGGUGCCUUUUUAGCAAGGGCAAGAGGGUAGGGGCAGGUCACUACUAGCAAUAGGGGAGAAGGGUAAGAGCUGCUUAUCUGCAACGGGAGGGCAGCAGAAUCCUCCUGCUUGGAAGAAGGGGAGGGCAAGAGGCCCAGGACUUGAUGGUUGCCAGUCUUAAAAUGUCCCACCUAUGUUCUGAAGCAAAAAAAUUUGACCUUUGUUACUUUUCAGUACCUGAGGUUUAGGGAUGUCUCAGCUUCAGCAUUGUGACCCCAGCACACAAGCUUCAGCAGAACGCAACAGCAACAAGGUUAAAUUAAUGUUGUCUACUUUGGUUCAGUUGUUGCUGAUGGCUGAUAACUAGUACAAUAAAACUUUACUGCAUUUGGGAGAUUAGUGUGGAGGACAAUCCUGACGUCAUGCAGGGAGAAAAUAAAGCACUAGACAGAUUCCCAAACUAUUGGCUCACCUACCACCUUGCAAAAAAUGGUUGUGAAGGGCAUUGAUGGAACAUCAAACUCACGUACCACCAGUGGUAUAUGUAUCAGGUUUUGAGAAUCCCAGACUAGAAGACCCAGGAGUUCCCUUCUAACUUUAUCUUCUAGGUAAUAGGAGAAAGGAUAUUAACACCCAGCUUACUUCCAGAUUGUGUGGGAUGGCUGUCACAAAACCAAUGCCGUCUGGUAGGUCAUGAUACAGCUAUAUGAACGAGUCUCGGGUGUGGACUGGUGUAAAUGGACACAGAGGCUUUUGUGUCUAAGUCACAAAUUAGAACGUGGUCCAGGUCAAUAGGGAACAAAAUGCUAUACAUGUAUAUUUGAUCCAUGCAAAAUGAGUAUGGUGGCCUGUGUUCUGCAGAAGGCCAGACCAGAUGAUCACAGUGGUACAUUCUGGCCUUGAAAUCUAUGAAUUUUUUGACAAAAUGCUUAGUCCCUGGGAAAUAUCAGUUUGUCAAAAGUGAGAACGUACUGGAUUUCACAAAAAUGUAGUUGAUCAUUGACUUGAACCCAGUUCUUCCACAUCCCAGUUGACCACCAGUCUAGUAGUUAUUCUACAGCUUGGGGAUUUCUCCCAAUCUCUCCUGUUGGAACUGUUCCACUUUGUGUAUGCUAAAUAGUCACUGGAGCAGGGACUUCAACCUGACUCAUGCCCGGGGCACUGGAACUGGGUGUGUGUGUGUGUGUGUGCAGAGGGGUCCUACCCCCCCCCUUUUAAAAGUAGGAGGGCCAUGGCCCCCCCACUUUUUAACAUGGGCAUAGUUUGGAGGGCAAGGGGGUAGCAUUGCCCCCCAACAACUGCAAGCCUCGAUCUGUCAUGAAGUGGUGUCAGCAGAGGCUGCGCUUCACAGCAGGAUGAACCUCUUCCCUCCAAGGCCCUGCCCCUGGCCAGGCCAGAAGCUGGAGUUGGGUAAUGGUAAGAGUCACCCAGGAAGCCCAGGCCACUGUGGAGAGCCCUGGAACCUCAACCUGCUCUGGGCAGCACGGGCCAGGGGCCGCUCUCAGGCCCCCCGCCUCCCCACCCCCACCCAGGGCAGAUGGAGGGUCCAACAAUGGCCUGGGCUCUCUGGGCGGCUGUUACCACUGCCUGGCUCUAGCUUUUAGCCUGGCCAGGGGCACGGCCCAGGUGCACCAGAGAGCGGCAGCUGGGCAGUGGUAAGAGAGCAGAGGUUGGAGAGCGGCAGCAGCUAUGUAGGGGGUGCUAAGGAAAAUUUUGAGUUGGCGAUAGCCCCUGCAAAUACCCCGCAGCACCACAUCUGCCCAAGGCUUGCAGUUUGGGGGGCAAUGCUGGCCCCGGCCCUCAAAACUUUGCCCAUGUUAAAAAGUGGGGGACAUGGCCUCUUGGUCCCCUCGGUUCUGGUGCUGGUGGCCCCCCCAACUUCUACAGAGGUUCCGGUGCCCCUGACUCACGCACAACACAGGGGAGUGCCUUAGCCCAGGGGUUAAGGAGUCAGUCUCUGCCUCACCUCUUCUGGCCCCAUGAUUAUUUAAAUUUAUACAAAGUAGAAUGAGAGAGAGAGAGAGAAAUCACUGCUCCCCCCCCCACACAAUAACCAAGAUAUUCACCUGGGCUGUAGGAAAUAAGGGUUCAGAUCCUUACUCUGGAUCAGGCAGAGUGGGACUACAAACUCGCGUGGGUACCCAGACCAGCAGGCUGUUAGCUACCCUGGGGCAUGUGUGCCCGCUAUCCUUUAUUGAUGAAAAUCGUUGAAAGGUCUCGCUUUUGUUCCAGUGCAGAAUGGGAAAUUUUAGAACUCCUGAAAAUUUUCACAUGAUGGAAAAAGUUCCCCCCCUGCAAGCUCUAGUUUGGACCAUUAAUCAUGCACAUGGUCUUUCUGCUGUACCUACAGAACUCUUGCUAAAUCUAUGGCAUUGCAGCAGGCACAGCAAGAGACCUACAUCCCUAGGUAUACAAGAGGGCUCCCAAAUCUAGCACGGACUACACCCUACUUGUGUAUAUUUCUCUCCCUUACCGCCUCCAAAGUA